UGGCCCCGCCGGUGCAUUAGCUAGUUGGUAAGGUAAAGGACUUACCAAGGCGAUGAUGCAUAGCCGAGUUGAGAGACUGAUCGGCCACAUUGGGACUGAGACACGGCCCAAACUCCUACGGGAGGCAGCAGUAGGGAAUCUUCCACAAUGGACGCAAGUCUGAUGGAGCAACGCCGCGUGAGUGAAGAAGGUUUUCGGUAUCGUAAAAGCUCUGUUGUUGGUGAAGAAGGAUAGAGGUAGUAACUGGCCUUUAUUUGACGGUAAUCAACCAGAAAGUCACGGGCUAACUACGUGCCAGCAGCCGCGGUAAAU
rnacentral:rRNA from 1 species